GUUGUAGUAACCAAGAGGUAACUUUACUAACCAAAUUAUCCAAGGCUGCAUUUUCCUCUGGAGUAGAGGAAUCACUUCCACCUCACACUCUAGUAUCAUCACAUAAUCACCUUAUGAUCCAGUGAAAUAGCAGUCAUUAUCUUCCACAGCAAGUCCAACUUUCAGCACAGCAUGGAUGUUUUAGAUAUAAGUACCUUCAAAGAACUUGUUUUUUUCCCUUUGCUGUCCAC
rnacentral:lncRNA from 1 species